rnacentral:rRNA from 1 species
UACGUAGGUCCCGAGCGUUGUCCGGAUUUAUUGGGCGUAAAGCGAGCGCAGGUGGUUUAUUAAGUCUGGUGUAAAAGGCAGUGGCUCAACCAUUGUAUGCAUUGGAAACUGGUAGACUUGAGUGCAGGAGAGGAGAGUGGAAUUCUAUGUGUAGCGGUGAAAUGCGUAGAUAUAUGGAGGAACACCGGUGGCGAAAGCGGCUCUCUGGCCUGUAACUGACACUGAGGCUCGAAAGCGUGGGGAGCAAACAGG